GAUUAAGUUAUUAAGGGCGCACGGUGGAUGCCUUGGCACUAGAAGCCGACGAAGGACGUUACUAACGACGAUAUGCUUUGGGGAGCUGUAAGUAAGCUUUGAUCCAGAGAUUUCCGAAUGGGGAAACCCAGCACGAGUUAUGUCGUGUUAUCGAUAUGUGAAUACAUAGCAUAUCUGAAGGCAGACGCGGAGAACUGAAACAUCUUAGUACCCGCAGGAAGAGAAAGAAAAAUCGAUUCCCUGAGUAGCGGCGAGCGAAACGGGAAGAGCCCAAACCAACGAGCUUGCUUGUUGGGGUUGUAGGACACUCUAUACGGAGUUACAAAAGAACAGACUAGACGAAUCAUCUGGAAAGAUGAAUCAAAGAAGGUAAUAAUCCUGUAGUCGAAAGUUUGUUCACUCUUGAGUGGAUCCUGAGUACGACGGAACACGAGAAAUUCCGUCGGAAUCUGGGAGGACCAUCUCCCAAGGCUAAAUACUCUCUAGUGACCGAUAGUGAACCAGUACCGUGAGGGAAAGGUGAAAAGUACCCCGGAAGGGGAGUGAAAUAGAACUUGAAACCGUGUGCUUACAAGUAGUCAGAGCCCGUUAAUGGGUGAUGGCGUGCCUUUUGUAGAAUGAACCGGCGAGUUACGAUUUGAUGCAAGGUUAAGCAGUGAAUGUGGAGCCGUAGUGAAAGCGAGUCUGAAUAGGGCGUUGAGUAUUUGGUCGUAGACCCGAAACCAGGUGAUCUACCCAUGACCAGGUUGAAGUUCAGGUAACACUGAAUGGAGGACCGAACCGACUUACGUUGAAAAGUGAGCGGAUGAGUUGUGGGUAGCGGAGAAAUUCCAAUCGAACCUGGAGAUAGCUGGUUCUCUCCGAAAUAGCUUUAGGGCUAGCCUCAAGUGAUGAUUAUUGGAGGUAGAGCACUGUUUGGACGAGGGGCCCUUAUCGGGUUACCGAAUUCAGACAAACUCCGAAUGCCAAUCAAUUUAACUUGGGAGUCAGAACGCGGGUGAUAAGGUCCGUGUUCGAAAGGGAAACAGCCCAGACCACCAGCUAAGGUCCCAAAAUAUAUGUUAAGUGGAAAAGGAUGUGGCGUUGCCCAGACAACUAGGAUGUUGGCUUAGAAGCAGCCAUCAUUUAAAGAGUGCGUAAUAGCUCACUAGUCGAGUGACACUGCGCCGAAAAUGUACCGGGGCUAAACAUAUUACCGAAGCUGUGGAUUGUCCGUAAGGACAAUGGUAGGAGAGCGUUCUAAGGGCGUUGAAGCAUGAUCGCAAGGACAUGUGGAGCGCUUAGAAGUGAGAAUGCCGGUGUGAGUAGCGAAAGACGGGUGAGAAUCCCGUCCACCGAUUGACUAAGGUUUCCAGAGGAAGGCUCGUCCGCUCUGGGUUAGUCGGGUCCUAAGCUGAGGCCGAUAGGCGUAGGCGAUGGAUAACAGGUUGAUAUUCCUGUACCACCAUUAUUCGUUUUAAGCGAUGGGGGGACGCAGUAGGAUAGGCGAAGCGUACGAUUGGAUUGUACGUCCAAGCAGUGAGAUUGAGUGUUAGGCAAAUCCGGCACUCUUAAGAUUGAGCUGUGAUGGGGAGAGGAAAUUGUUUCCUCGAGUCGUUGAUUUCACACUGCCAAGAAAAGCCUCUAGCUAGAAUUGUGGUGCCCGUACCGCAAACCGACACAGGUAGUCAAGAUGAGAAUUCUAAGGUGAGCGAGCGAACUCUCGUUAAGGAACUCGGCAAAAUGACCCCGUAACUUCGGGAGAAGGGGUGCUCUUUAGGGUUAACGCCCAGGAGAGCCGCAGUGAAUAGGCCCAAGCGACUGUUUAUCAAAAACACAGGUCUCUGCUAAACCGUAAGGUGAUGUAUAGGGGCUGACGCCUGCCCGGUGCUGGAAGGUUAAGAGGAGUGGUUAGCUUCUGCGAAGCUACGAAUCGAAGCCCCAGUAAACGGCGGCCGUAACUAUAACGGUCCUAAGGUAGCGAAAUUCCUUGUCGGGUAAGUUCCGACCCGCACGAAAGGCGUAACGAUUUGGGCACUGUCUCAACGAGAGACUCGGUGAAAUCAUAGUACCUGUGAAGAUGCAGGUUACCCGCGACAGGACGGAAAGACCCCGUGGAGCUUUACUGUAGUCUGAUAUUGAAAUUCGGCACAGCUUGUACAGGAUAGGUAGGAGCCUGAGAUACGUGAGCGCUAGCUUACGUGGAGGCGUUGGUGGGAUACUACCCUCGCUGUGUUGGAUUUCUAACCCGCACCAUUUAUCAUGGUGGGAGACAGUGUCAGAUGGGCAGUUUGACUGGGGCGGUCGCCUCCUAAAGAGUAACGGAGGCGCUCAAAGGUUUCCUCAGAAUGGUUGGAAAUCAUUCAUAGAGUGUAAAGGCAUAAGGAAGCUUGACUGCGAGACUUACAAGUCGAGCAGGGUCGAAAGACGGACUUAGUGAUCCGGUGGUUCCGCAUGGAAGGGCCAUCGCUCAACGGAUAAAAGCUACCCCGGGGAUAACAGGCUUAUCUCCCCCAAGAGUUCACAUCGACGGGGAGGUUUGGCACCUCGAUGUCGGCUCAUCGCAUCCUGGGGCUGUAGUCGGUCCCAAGGGUUGGGCUGUUCGCCCAUUAAAGCGGUACGCGAGCUGGGUUCAGAACGUCGUGAGACAGUUCGGUCCCUAUCCGUCGUGGGCGUAGGAAAUUUGAGAGGAGCUGUCCUUAGUACGAGAGGACCGGGAUGGACAUACCUCUGGUGUACCAGUUGUCGUGCCAACGGCAUCGCUGGGUAGCUAUGUAUGGACGGGAUAAGUGCUGAAAGCAUCUAAGCAUGAAGCCCCCCUCAAGAUGAGAUUUCCCAACUUCGGUUAUAAGAUCCCUCAAAGAUGAUGAGGUUAAUAGGUUCGAGGUGGAAGCAUAGCGAUAUGUGCAGCUGACGAAUACUAAUCGAUCGAAGACUUAAUCAA
rnacentral:rRNA from 1 species